UUUUUAUAAGGAUAACUACGGAAAAGCUGUAGCUAAUACUUGCUUUAGCACUCUUGAUUAAGUUCUUGAGUGUGUACUUGUUAAGCCUUUUAAGAAAAAAGUUAUUAACUUAAGGAAUUAUAACAAAGAAGCAACACGUAAAUGGAUUUUCCAUUUUUUAGUGUGUAUCAAUCGAGUUUCUGACCUAUCAGCUUUUGAUGUUAGGGUAUUGGCCUAACAUGGCUAUGACGGGUA
rnacentral:rRNA from 1 species